rnacentral:rRNA from 1 species
UACGAAGGGUGCUAGCGUUGUUCGGAAUCAUUGGGCGUAAAGCGCGUGUAGGUGGCUUAUUAAGUCGAGUGUGAAAUCCCUGGGCUCAACCGAGGAAGUGCAUUCGAAACUGAUUAGCUAGAGGACGGUAGAGGAAGGUGGAAUUCCAAGUGUAGAGGUGAAAUUCGUAGAUAUUUGGAGGAAUACCGGUGGCGAAGGCGGCCUUCUGGACCGGUCAUGACACUGAGACGCGAAAGCGUGGGGAGCAAACAGG